rnacentral:misc_RNA from 1 species
GAUGAAGAACGUAGCGAAAUGCGAUAAGUAAUGUGAAUUGCAGAAUUCAGUGAAUCAUCGAAUCUUUGAACGCAUCUUGCGCUCCUUGGUAUUCCUUGGAGCAUGCCUGUUUGAGUAUCAUGAGCAAAUCUCAAAGUCAAUUCCUUUUGUUGAUUCAAUUGGUUUUGCUUUGGACUUGGAGGCCUUGCAGAUUUCACAGUCUGCUCCUCUUAAAUGCAUUAGCUGGAUCUCAGUAAUUAUGCUUGGUUCCACUCGGCGUGAUAAGUAUCACUCGCUGAGGACACUGUUAAAAAGGUGGCCAGAAAAAUACUGAUUGAACCGCUUCUAACGGUCUAUUAAGUUAGACAAUUACCCUUAAGUUUGAUCUCAAAUCAGGUAGGACUACCCGCUGAACUUAAGCAUAUCAAUAAGCGGAGGA